CUGACAAGGAAGGGGGCUGGUAUGCUGGUCUUGUCUGCACAUGACAGGGUGGAGAGAGAGUGUCUUGGAUUUUUCCACAUGGGAACCUAUAUCCAGGUGUGCUGUGUGUGCCGAACAAAACAGUAGUAAAACACAGUGUUCUGUUAUUGUUAGUGUAACAGCAUGUUCCUUUGUGCCCACCCUUUAUAAUUCCACAUAAGUUCCUUAAUCCUCAUUGAUGACAGUUUAAGAGAGGUUUUUGAUCCUAUUGUACAUAAUACUUGAUUUGCAAUAAUAUGCCACAUAAAAGGCAUCCAAGUGUUGGAUCAAAUAUUUGAAUGAAGGAAAAGACCUGCCAAAACAAUGACAGUUGGAAUGAACAUAUUACAUUGAUAUCAUGGUAUGAUGUGUAAAGCUCUUAAUAAUAGACCAAUGGCAGACACUGACAUCUCCAACUACCCGUCUGAUGGGGAGGGAGAAGGAAAGAGCAAUGACACCCUGACCCAGAGCAGACUGGAAGCUGGGGUUGUUGCUGAGUGUCCUAUUCAGACUGGAGGCUGGGGUUGUUGCUGAGUGUCCUAUGCAGACUGGAGGCUGGGGUUGUUGCUGAAUGUCCUAUGCAGACUGGAGGCUGGGGUUGUUCCUGAGUGUCCUAUGCAGACUGGAGGCUGGGGUUGUUGCUGAGUGUCCUAUGCAGACUGGAGGCUGGGGUUGUUGCUGAAUGUCCUAUGCAGACUGGAGGCUGGGGUUGUUCCUGAGUGUCCUAUGCAGACUGGAGGCUGGGGUUGUUGCUGAGUGUCCUAUGCAGACUGGAGGCUGGGGUUGUUGCUGAGUGUCCUAUGCAGACUGGAUGCUGGGGUUGUUCCUGAGUGUCCUAUGCAGACUGGAUGCUGGGGUUGUUGCUGAGUGUCCUCUGCAGACCGGAGGCUGGGGUUGUUGCUGAGUGUCCUCUGCAGACUGGGGAGGGAGAGGGCAGCAGAUGGUCGGUCACUGACUGGGUCAGGUCCACUCUGGCAGUGCGGCAGACGCCCCAGAAACAUACAGACAGGAACUCCAAGGACCCAUAGGACUCCAACAAAAAGAAAAGGACAUUUCAAAGGGGCGGCCUGGCGGAGUGACUGAACAGGCUCCAGUGCAGACAGAGGUCAACCAUCAGCUUCUGGAGGCACCAGUCCAUCUCUGACAUUACUACAACAGCCACAGAAACAAGGACAUUUCUAAGUGACCCCAAACUUUUGAAUGGUCCUGACAGUCCAGGUGGCGAGCUGCAUGCAGCUGGCCCUGUGUGAGCAGCACUACCCCCCUGCUACGGACCAGCGCAGACCCCCUCUCACCACCAGAGCUAACCAGAACCACUCCCCCACUACAGACCACAACAGACCCCCUCUCACCACCAUAGCUAACCAGAACCACUCCCCCACUACGGACCACCACAGACCCCCUCCCUCCACCUUCACCACUCCCAGCAGCAGAGCCCGGAUCCUGGUACUGUUUAUUAAGGAGACAGCUGCCCAGCUCAUGCCUGAACCUAGAGACAUCAUCGAUGUGUACCCACCAUGGUGAGAGUGCACCAGUCUGCAGUAGUUACAGUAUUGGUAAUGCACAGCUAUGGUGUCAUGUUAUAAUUUUAAUGGCACGGGAAAUGCCAGAGUCAUUAUGUCAUCUAUCAUCGAGCACGUAUCCUCCUCAUGCAGUAAAGCUAUGGUCAUAUCUCACGUUGAACCCAGUUUAUAUGUUUUUAUAUAGGCCUACCAGUACUUUUCUGUUUUAAAAUGUGUUGUAACGGGAAACACUAUUCGGCUAGUGAGGCCCAAUAGCCCUCUGGUGCAGUGCAGUAGUGUUAUACACACAGAGUAGUUGGGGCGUGUGAGGUUGUUUUGGAACAGGAGAAAGGCAGAGGCUGGUUCCAGCUGUUGAGGGUUUACUUUGGGAGUCCAGCGGCCACCUCUGGAAUAUCCAGUCUGGGGCCUGGCCUGGUGGAAGCCCAGGGGCCUAUUGUCAGCUUUGGAAUAUCCCGACUGGGGACUGGCCUGUUGGAAGCCCAGGGGCCUACUCUAAGCUCUGACGUCACCAGCUGCUCCAGGGAAUGAUGCUUCACAUUCCUCUUCCUGGCAGUAGAGUAGUUAGGUCAUUUCCAGCAAGCCGGCCUGGGAAAAAACACACUGGGAUUAUUUUCUGGAGCAUUUGGGAACUAUGUGGAAGAAGCCAAAAGGACCGGAUUGAAAACACAUGCUGCUCUGCUGCACACACACACGAAUGUGCGCACACACACACACACACACACACACACACACACACACACACACACACACACACACACUGUGUAAUGUAUCAUUGAUUUAGAAUUAUUAGAGCAGUUUUAUUUUCACCAGCAGUAGAGAACAGUAGUCUCCCGCUGACUGUUAUUGAAAGCAAAAUAAUUUCAGCAUUUAUAAACAAAUGUAUUUAUUUAUUUGAAUGCUCUUUCUACUCAUGGUCCUUGCCAUUGUCUUAUUUUGUAAAUUAAAAUAUAGGCCUACAAAUUUUCCUUAAAUACCCUCCCCCCCAACUUUACUCAAAAUAUCCUAUUUGCUGAUAUAGAGAUUUUUAGAACGUCCAAAAGGGGUAAACGCACGUAAUUCAUAGAAUCCUCGAUGCUGGUUAAAUUUCUAUUUCUUAUCUACCAGCUUCCUGUGUGACAUGUGAAUGGUUCCCACCCCCAUACUCCUUCACUGACUGGGCCCCUCCAUCCGCCUAGCCGCCUACCACUCCUUGUGAGACAGUGGAGCGGAAAUACCUGCCAGCAUUAUUCACCUUUGCUCUGACGACAGCAGCCGCUCCUUAACUACCUGUCUGAUGACACAUGUACUAGUUCCCAACAGUCACCUGCACUGUGCAGGGUAACACUUUAUGUACUGUUGUUCCUCCAAGAAAGCCUUUAUCACUGAUAGUUGAGCGAUUUAGGUAUAGAUUCAAUUUAGAAUAUGGAGUCUUUGAAACCUUAAUACUGACACUGAUUGAGUGUGAUGAGGCACUCUAUAUACCCUUUAUAUUAAGAGGGUUUAUUAACAUUGAGAAAUCAUAGGCUAAACUAUAACUAAAACAUUACACGUGUGUAGCUAGAGUGUGUGCACUUGUUCACUUCUGGCCAACAUCUCAAACAUGAGUCUAUUCUUGAUCAUUUCAUGAUGAUUCGACACAACAGAAAUGUACACCUUUUGAAUAGCAGAUAACAUAUUAUUUUCUAAGUGAACUCGAUUACAUGAAAUUGCUAAUUUGUUAUAUUGACAGCACCUGUAACCUACAUUUUUAUGAAGUGUGAUUAAUUAUCCUGCCUCCUCUAUCAUAUCACCAGUCAGAGGCAGGCUGGAACAUGUAGGUCUAGCUGGAUCCACAGAGACUGUGGUUGUCUCUGAGUCAACUAUAAGCCAUGUUGUUAUUACCUGUGCCACAUCAACAUUAAAAAAAUUGAGUCAGAACAUUGCCUUAUCCACAUAAUAAAGAUGAUGCGAUCUAAAUAAGAUUGCUUGUUUUUAAAGGCUGGAUAUUUCUUGGUAUAUUAACGUUCAGGAAAGCUUAAAGUGAAUCCCCUUUACGAGCUGUAAUACUUGACUGUUGAUUUAAAAAAAGUUUAUUUUCUCAGUAUUUGUCCUCCUGGUAUAAAAGGAACACCACAUGUUUCUCCAUGAUUAGUCUCCCCCAAAAAUAUAAUAAUUUCAUUUCACUGCAGCUAUCAUUGCACCUACUGUGCAUUUGGAAAGUAUUCAGACCCCUUGACCUUUUCCACAUUUUGUUACGUUAUAGCCUUAUCCUAAAAUUGAUUAAAUGAGUUGUUUUCCUCAUUAAUCUAC
ensembl:lncRNA